rnacentral:lncRNA from 1 species
GCGUUUUCUUCAUCGUUCAGAUCUUAGCAAACGCAUCGUAGAAAAAUGCAUUGAACUGCAAAGUUGUUGGUCAGAAGGGAGCUUUUUUGCUACGGAUUUUAUGGUUGAGAGAUCGACGAGACCUAUCAUUAAAGCGAAGGCACCAAAAAUAGAAGACAAAUCAAUACUAUACGAUGUUUUUGUAGAGAUAUUGAACUUUUUAAGCACGAAGGAUGUAAGAAGAAUUGGACUUUGGGGAAAGGUAGGUGUUGGCAAAACAGCAAUCAUGCAGAAUCUAACUGAAAAUGAAAAAGUAUCUAAAUUGUUCGAUAUAGUCUUCUUUGUAACCUUAAGCGAUGAAGGGGAUAAAAAUAAGCUACAAGAAAAGAUUCAAUGUCAAAUAGCACAAGAACUAGAAGUGAAUUUAGAAGGGUUUACUGAAACUAAGAAAAUUGCUUCAAUAAUAUCAGAAAAGUUGGAAUCCACUAGAUAUCUACUUCUUUUAGAUGAUGUUUGGGGUGCAUUCGAUCUCGAUGAUGUUGGCAUUUAUGAUAAGGAGGAUAGCAAAGUUGUCAUUGCAUCUAGACAUCGUGGCAUUUGUCGUGAGAUGUGUGUUGAUCAUAUCAUCAAUGUACCUCGACUCUCAGAUGAUGAUGCUUGGAAUCUUUUUGAGGAAAGGUUGGGUCGGAAGUUGAAUUCAGAUUUUAAACCGUUAGCUCUCCAAGUCAUUAAGGAGUGUGAUAACUUGCCACUUUUGAUUGAUAAAGUGGCAAGAGCUUUUAGGAGGAAAGAUGAGAUCCUUUUGUGGGAGGCUGGAAAAUAAUGUAUAUAAUAAAUAUAUGAAGUAUGUAAUAUGUAUUUAGCUCUAACAUUUAAUUUAAAUUCUAAAUUGAAUAAAAUUAAAAACAUAUAUAGUACAUAAAAUAAUUUUUAAUUUUCAUGUAUAGCUUUAUUAUAUAACAUUAAAAUAAUUAAAAAUAAAAUAUAUUUAUUAAUAUAUAGUUAACGUUAAUUAUCUAUUAAGUAUAAUAUUUAAAAUAAAAUUUAAUUGGUCAUCAAUAAGGUUAUUUUAGAAUAUUUAAAAUUUCAUUAAGGGUAUUAUCGGAAAUUUCAUUAUUUCCUCUCAUUCCCGCUUUUAUAUAUAGUAUAGAUAUAGAUAUAGAUAUAGAUUUAUUUUUUCACUUAUAUAUUUGUAGUUUUAACAUUUAUUUUUGCCGUAUAAUACAGAACAGACAUGGCCGAGGUAGUUUCUGCAGCAGCUUCUGCAGGAGCAGUUGAAGUGUACAAAGAUGUGAGAAAUGCAGUUGCUUCUAUUGAUCAAGUAAGAGACUAUGAGAGAAGGCUAGAUAAAAAUUCUGAAAAACUAAAGGAUGAAGCAAAAAAGCUCUAUGCAAGGAAGGUUGAUUUAUUAGCCAAAAAAAAUAGAGACAGGACAAAGCAAACUACUGAAGAAUGCAAUUUGUGGAUUGGGAUGGUCAAGAAACUUGAAAAAGAUGUGCAAGCCCUCUUAACUGAAUAUGAAGAAGAAAAGAAACUUCAGUUUAGUUUGGCGCGUUUUCUUCAUCGUUCAGAUCUUAGCAAACGCAUCGUAGAAAAAUGCAUUGAACUGCAAAGUUGUUGGUCAGAAGGGAGCUUUUUUGCUACGGAUUUUAUGGUUGAGAGAUCGACGAGACCUAUCAUUAAAGCGAAGGCACCAAAAAUAGAAGACAAAUCAAUACUAUACGAUGUUUUUGUAGAGAUAUUGAACUUUUUAAGCACGAAGGAUGUAAGAAGAAUUGGACUUUGGGGAAAGGUAGGUGUUGGCAAAACAGCAAUCAUGCAGAAUCUAACUGAAAAUGAAAAAGUAUCUAAAUUGUUCGAUAUAGUCUUCUUUGUAACCUUAAGCGAUGAAGGGGAUAAAAAUAAGCUACAAGAAAAGAUUCAAUGUCAAAUAGCACAAGAACUAGAAGUGAAUUUAGAAGGGUUUACUGAAACUAAGAAAAUUGCUUCAAUAAUAUCAGAAAAGUUGGAAUCCACUAGAUAUCUACUUCUUUUAGAUGAUGUUUGGGGUGCAUUCGAUCUCGAUGAUGUUGGCAUUUAUGAUAAGGAGGAUAGCAAAGUUGUCAUUGCAUCUAGACAUCGUGGCAUUUGUCGUGAGAUGUGUGUUGAUCAUAUCAUCAAUGUACCUCGACUCUCAGAUGAUGAUGCUUGGAAUCUUUUUGAGGAAAGGUUGGGUCGGAAGUUGAAUUCAGAUUUUAAACCGUUAGCUCUCCAAGUCAUUAAGGAGUGUGAUAACUUGCCACUUUUGAUUGAUAAAGUGGCAAGAGCUUUUAGGAGGAAAGAUGAGAUCCUUUUGUGGGAGGCUG